CAACUUUCAACAACGGAUCUCUUGGCUCUUGCAUCGAUGAAGAACGCAGCGAAAUGCGAUAAGUAAUGUGAAUUGCAGAAUUCCGUGAAUCAUCAAAUCUUUGAACGCAAAUUGCACUCUUUGGUAUUCCAAAGAGUAUACUUGCUUGAGGGUUGUU
rnacentral:rRNA from 1 species